rnacentral:rRNA from 1 species
CUACGGAGGGUCCAAGCGUUAUCCGGAAUCAUUGGGUUUAAAGGGUCCGCAGGCGGUCAAUUAAGUCAGAGGUGAAAGCCCAUCGCUCAACGAUGGAACUGCCUUUGAUACUGGUUGACUUGAGUUAUACGGAAGUAGAUAGAAUAAGUAGUGUAGCGGUGAAAUGCAUAGAUAUUACUUAGAAUACCGAUUGCGAAGGCAGUCUACUACGUAUAUACUGACGCUGAGGGACGAAAGCGUGGGGAGCGAACAGGAUUAGAAACCCCAGUAGUCC